rnacentral:rRNA from 1 species
GAAAUGUGAUAAGUAAUGUGAAUUGCAGAAUCCAGUGAAUCAUCGAAUCUUUGAACGCAUCUUGCGCUCCUUGGCAUUCCGAGGAGCAUGCCUGUUUGAGUGUCAUUAAACUAUCAAAACACUUUUUCUUGGGUGUUUUGGAUUUUGGGAGUGCUGGUCUGUUUGAGCCAGCUCUCCUCAAAAGCAUUAGCUUUGUAGACCAUCAGUGUGAUAAUAACAAAAAUUUAUGCUGACUUGAGUGUCUCUGCUUCUCCUUUUAAAAUGAACCCCUCCCUUGACCUCAAAUCAGGUAGGACUACCCGCUGAACUUAA